rnacentral:rRNA from 1 species
UACAGGGGGUGCAAACGUUGCUCGGAAUCAUUGGGCGUAAAGCGCACGUAGGCGGUCUGUUAUGUCGGAUGUGAAAGCCCUUGGCUUAACUGAGGAAGUGCAUCCGAAACUGGCAGGCUAGAGUACUAAAGAGGGUCGCGGAAUUCCCGGUGUAGAGGUGAAAUUCGUAGAUAUCGGGCGGAACACCGGUGGCGAAGGCGGCGACCUGGGUAGAUACUGACGCUGAGGUGCGAAAGCGUGGGGAGCAAACAGG